rnacentral:rRNA from 1 species
CCCAGACUCCUACGGGAGGCAGCAGUGAGGAAUAUUGGUCAAUGGGCGAGAGCCUGAACCAGCCAAGUCGCGUGAGGGAGUACUGCCCUAUGGGUUGUAAACCUCUUUUGUCGGGGAGCAAAAGCCGGACGUGUCCGGCUGCGAGAGUACCCGAAGAAAAAGCAUCGGCUAACUCCGUGCCAGCAGCCGCGGUAAUACGGAGGAUGCGAGCGUUAUCCGGAUUUAUUGGGUUUAAAGGGUGCGCAGGCGGAUUUUUAAGUCAGCGGUCAAAUCGUGGGGCUCAACCCCAUCCAGCCGUUGAAACUGGGGAUCUAGAGUGUGCGAGAGGUAUGCGGAAUGCGUGGUGUAGCGGUGAAAUGCAUAGAUAUCGCGCAGAACUCCGAUUGCGAAGGCAGCGUACCGGCGCCGGACUGACGCUGAGGCACGAAAGCGUGGGGAGCAAACAGGAUUAGAUACCCCAGUAC